AUUGAACGCUGGCGGCAUGCUUUACACAUGCAAGUCGAACGGUAACAGGCCUUCGGGUGCUGACGAGUGGCGCACGGGUGAGUAAUGCAUCGGAACGUACCCAGAGGUGGGGGAUAACGCAGCGAAAGCUGUGCUAAUACCGCAUGUGAUCUGAGGAUGAAAGCGGGGGACCGAGCAGCAAUGUUUGGCCUCGCGCCUUUUGAGCGGCCGAUGUCGGAUUAGCUAGUUGGUGGGGUAAAGGCCUACCAAGGCGACGAUCCGUAGCUGGUCUGAGAGGACGAACAGCCACACUGGGACUGAGACACGGCCCAGACUCCUACGGGAGGCAGCAGUGGGGAAUUUUGGACACUGGGCGCAAGCCUGAUCCAGCAAUGCCGCGUGCGGGAAGAAGGCAUUCGGGUUGUAAACCGCUUUUGGCAGGAACGAAACGGUGUCCGCUAAUACCGGGCGAUAAUGACGGUACCUGCAGAAUAAGCACCGGCUAACUACGUG
rnacentral:rRNA from 1 species